rnacentral:hammerhead_ribozyme from 1 species
UUACUGAUGAGUCUCAAAUAGGACGAAACGUGCGUCCAA